rnacentral:rRNA from 1 species
UGAGGAAUAUUGGUCAAUGGGCGCGAGCCUGAACCAGCCAAGUAGCGUGAAGGAUGAAGGCUCUAUGGGUCGUAAACUUCUUUUAUAAGGGAAUAAAGUGGAGAACGUGUUCUCCUUUGUAUGUACCUUACGAAUAAGGAUCGGCUAACUCCGUGCCAGCAGCCGCGGUAAUACGGAGGAUCCGAGCGUUAUCCGGAUUUAUUGGGUUUAAAGGGAGCGUAGGUGGAUAGUUAAGUCAGUUGUGAAAGUUUGCGGCUCAACCGUAAAAUUGCAGUUGAUACUGGCUAUCUUGAGUACAGUAGAGGUGGGCGGAAUUCGUGGUGUAGCGGUGAAAUGCUUAGAUAUCACGAAGAACUCCAAUUGCGAAGGCAGCUCACUAGACUGGUCACUGACACUGAGGCUCGAAAGUGUGGGUAUCAAACA